UCAAGGAAGCAGGUGCCCGUACCGCAAACCGACACAGGUAGGUGAGGAGAGAAUCCUAAGGCGCGCGAGAGAACCCUCGUUAAGGAACUCGGCAAAAUGACCCCGUAACUUCGGGAGAAGGGGUGCUCUAUUAGCGUGAGUAUAUUUCACAUGUAUGAGCGUGAGAGAGCCGCAGUGAUCAGGCCCAGGCGACUGUUUAGCAAAAACACAGGUCUCUGCUAAAUCGAAAGAUGAAGUAUAGGGGCUGACGCCUGCCCGGUGCCGGAAGGUUAAGGGGAGAGCUUAGUGGCAACGCGAAGGCUUGAACCGAAGCCCCGGUGAACGGCGGCCGUAACAAUAACGGUCCUAAGGUAGCGAAAUUCCUUGUCUGGUAAGUUCAGACCCGCACGAAAGGCGUAACGAUCUGGGCGCUGUCUCGACGAGGGGCUCGGUGAAAUUGUAAUACCGGUGAAGAUGCCGGUUACCUGCGAUAGGACAGAAAGACCCCGUGGAGCUUUACUGUAGCUUGAUAUUGGAUUUUGGUAAUUGAUGUACAGGAUAGGUGGGAGACUAAGAAUUCAGGUCGCAAGGCUUGGAGGAGUCACUGGUGGGAUACCACUCUUUAAUUGCUGGAGUUCUAACCUGGGCCCGUGAUCCGGGUCAGGGACAGUGUCUGGCGGGCAGUUUGACUGGGGCGGUCGCCUCCCAAAAAGUAACGGAGGCGCCCAAAGGUUUCCUCAGCGCGGAUGGAAAUCGCGCGAAGAGUGUAAAGGCAUAAGGGAGCUUGACUGUGAGAGAGACAUCUCGAGCAGGGACGAAAGUCGGGCUUAGUGAUCCGGCGGUACCGAGUGGAAGGGCCGUCGCUCAUCGGAUAAAAGCUACCCCGGGGAUAACAGGCUUAUCUCCCCCAAGAGUUCACAUCGACGGGGAGGUUUGGCACCUCGAUGUCGGCUCAUCACAUCCUGGGGCUGGAGAAGGUCCCAAGGGUUGGGCUGUUCGCCCAUUAAAGCUACGUGAGCUGGGUUCAGAACGUCGUGAGACAGUUCGGUCCCUAUCCAUCGCAGGCGCAGGAGAAUUGAGAGGAUCUGUCCCUAGUACGAGAGGACCGGGAUGGACAGACCGCUGGUGUACCAGUUGUCUCGCCAGAGGCACAGCUGGGUAGCUAUGUCUGGACGUGAUAAGCGCUGAAAGCAUCUAAGCGCGAAGCCAACCUCAAGAUGAGUUCUCCCAUUCCGUAAGGAAGUAAGGUCCCACUAAGACUAAGUGGUAGAUAGGCCGGAGGUAUAAGUGUAGCGAUGCAUUAAGCUGACCGGUACUAGUAGACCGAGGUCUUGAUC
rnacentral:rRNA from 1 species